AACCAGGUGACUGCACAUGCAGCAGACAUCUAAAUGUGCCCAACUCAUGCAAUCUGAAAACACAAUUGUCUUCACUUUUCACACAUUCUUGCAUAUGAAUCACAUACCUCCUUUGUUCAAAGUGACACUCUGUAUUCCUUUAAACUACCGUACACAAAAUUAAAGGAAUGGGCAACUCAAGCUCCUUCCUCAACUUUUCCCACAACGUAGUGCUCCUGAUUGAGGCUUAAAAACAUUCUAAUCAUAUAUACCAGAGAAGGCAGUAAUUCACAAAAUGUUUCUGAAUGAAACUGUCUAAAAAUACUCUCUCAGCAAAAAAAGGGAUUGCUUCUGGAUCACUGAUAAUUGAGAACGAAAUGUGCACUGUUCCUUCUCACUGAAGUUCAGACUUCUAGCAGAAAGGGUCAUGCUAUGUCUACAAGCAGUUACUAGUUCAAAUCUCAACUGAUCCAUCACACAGGUGACAUUUUUCAGGAAAACUAAAUUGUCUUUAAAAAUCUAGAUUCUUAAAAAAAAAAAAUCAUUUUCUCACUUUAAGCAUAAGAACAUGAGAAAAAGAAGAAUGGACUGAGCCAUUUUUUGGAGAAUACACAUAUUGGAGGAUUUUAUCUUGGGCUGCUGAAGGAAAGAAGAAAAGGUUUUGUGGACAGAGAAAAAAUAAAAACAAAUGUGGCUUCAACAGCAGCAAAGGAGAUUGUCCAGAUCUGGAAUACUACCUGGGCUCUGAGGUCUGAGUGCAAGCUGAGAAACUGAAGAUAGAGCUGCGGGAGGAUGAGGAAGAAAGAGAUGAGCUCCUCAAAGAGGGAGUAAAGUUCAGCAAACACAAACAUCAAAGGACAUGAAAGUUUACUGUCCAUCUUCCACCUCCAUCAAAUGCCAUGAAAGAAGUACCACAGACAAAAACAUUUAUCAAAGUAAAAAGCAUUAUUGAUACUGAAAAGAAACUGUACCAAGCCAAGAAAGACAGCAUAGGGGUAGCUGCUUGUUCAUUGGAAAGAUCAACUGCACCUCCUGGUGGCAAACAAAAAAUUACCAACCUCUAAUGUGGACAGACAGUUUUCCCUCUUCGAAACAAAACAAACAAAAUAAUAAAUGUUAUUCAUUUUAA